UACAGAGGUCUCAAGCGUUGUUCGGAUUCAUUGGGCGUAAAGGGUGUGUAGGUGGCGCCGUAAGUCGGGUGUGAAAUUUCGGAGCUUAACUCCGAAACUGCAUUCGAUACUGCGGUGCUUGAGGACUGGAGAGGAGACUGGAAUUCAUGGUGUAGCAGUGAAAUGCGUAGAGAUCAUGAGGAAGACCAGUGGCGAAGGCGGCAUCCUGGACCAUUACUGACGCUGAUGAGCGAAAGCCAGGGGAGCAAACGGG
rnacentral:rRNA from 1 species